rnacentral:rRNA from 1 species
UACGUAGGGGGCGAGCGUUGUCCGGAUUUAUUGGGCGUAAAAGGCUUGUAGGUGGCCCCGCCAAGUCGGAUGUGAAAUCUCCCGGCUCAACUGGGAGGGGUCAUUCGAUACUGGCGGGCUCGAGGCCGGUAGGGGGAAGUGGAAUUCCCGGUGUAGUGGUGGAAUGCGUAGAUAUCGGGAGGAACACCAGUGGCGAAGGCGGCUUCCUGGACCGGUUCUGACACUGAUGAGCGAAAGCGUGGGGAGCGAUCCGG